AAACGCUUGAAGUCAGUCGCGUUUGUUGGGACUCAGCCUUGCUUUUGCUUGGUGCACUUCCCGGCAGAUGGGCCAACAUCAAUUUUGGGCGCCGGAUAAGUUCAGGAGGAAUGUGGCAUCUUUGGAUGUGUUAUAGCCUCCUGUUGUACACGGUGACUGGGAUUGAGGACCGCAGCACGCCUUUGGUCGGGGUUCUCCCACGCAACGUGCUUAGGAUGUUGGCGUAAUGGCUUUAAACGA
rnacentral:rRNA from 1 species